UACGUAGGGUGCGAGCGUUAAUCAGAAUUACUGGGCGUAAAGCGUGCGCAGGCGGUUCGCUGUGUCCGAUGUGAAAGCCCCGGGCUUAACCUGGGAAUGGCAUUGGAAACUGGCGGGCUUGAGUGUGACAGAGGGGGGUGGAAUUCCGCGUGUAGCAGUGAAAUGCGUAGAGAUGCGGAGGAACACCGAUGGCGAAGGCAGCCCCCUGGGCUAACACUGACGCUCAGGCACGAAAGCGUGGGGAGCAAACAGG
rnacentral:rRNA from 1 species